ensembl:lncRNA
GGAAGGAUCUCUAUCUGGAGAUCACCUCUCUUGGAGCCCUUCUGUGAGCCUAGGACAUGGGAGCAGUGAUGAGACCACAGCUUCUAUCCUCAAGAAAUGGUGAUCUCUACAGAAGGAAAUUUGUUUUAAUAAUUAAUCACUUUGUUAACAGUGACAACAAAUAGAAUGCUCCACAGAGUUCAUAUAAGGAGUAUUAUGGUUCAGCACAAGUGUCUUAAAUGCCAGUCAUCCAUGUCUCUCUCCUUUCCUUGGAAGAAAUGCAGUGUGCUGACAGUCCAGCUCAUUAUAGCCAUUGUUAUGAGUCAUUUUCUAGCUGUUCUCCAUUCCCUCAUAGAACAAAGACUGCAGUGCUUCAGAAACUUCUUUGCUUUUUUUUCACUGAGUUGCUGUGACGUGGUGGCUUCUUUAUGUUUUAGAUCAUUUAAACACUGACAUGAAUGUGAUCAUGUUUCAACAGUGCAACACCAUGCAGCACAUUUUUAAUGUAGUGCAUUUUGAUAAUUUUUUUUGCAUUUUAGUAUACUGUGAAUCUAUUGCUACUAUGCAAAAAUAUGAAGAUGAAAGAAUAACCUUCUGUUAAUAAAUAGACAACUUCUGUUGUGAAUCUUUUCCAGGCACCUGCUAUACUUCUGAAGACUGUUUGAUAUUUUUUAGCAUCUGGAGUUCCUCAGAAUACCCCUUUUUGUUUUUCCUUUCUAUCUCUGCUGCUCUGAAAGUAAUGCCUUCUAUUUUAUUAUGUUGGCCCACAAUUUCAGAGGCAGAUGUUGGUGAUAUGUCAGUAGAGGUGGAACUUUCCCACCAAUAUUCCAUUAUACGUUUUUUGCCAUACAACAGAUGGCAGCAGAGUUGCAGUCUAACAAAAUGGUGUCUGACACAGAAGAGUUUAUGAAGCAAAGGUGCAUUAUUGAAUUUGUCCAUGCAGAAAGAAGUGGCACUCACUGACAUUCAUUGACAUUUGGAAAUCAAAAGGCACCAAAUUCAGAUGAUGUUGGGGUUGUGGCAGGACAGUUCAGCCAAGAUUGGCAAUGUACUUCAUUGCCUUGAAAUUGGUAUGGGGCCUGGUGCUACUGUUUUGCAAGAGAAAUGUAUCUUCUCUGUCCUCACUCUGGAACUUCAAGCCUUCAGAUUAGUCAACAUCAUGGUGUAGCAAUCAGACUUGAUGUUUAGUCUGAGUUCUGGGAAAUCCAGAGGGUUGUCUCUUUCCUAUCCCAAAGGACAGUGCAUGUCCCUUUAACUACUGAGGACUGCAUCUUAAACUUUUUCUUCAAUAGGGAAUUCACAUCACCACUCCAUGGACUGCUGUUUUGACUUCGGCUUGUAAUGGUGACAUCAUACCUGGUAAUUAUGCAGUCCAGGAGCCUGUCACUUUCAGCUUCAUAUUUGUUCUGUAGGUCUUGAUGAACUUGCAUAUGGUGUUCUUUCUUUCCCUGUGUUAGAAUUUAUAGGAUUCACCUGGUGCAAACUGUGUGAUAUUCUAGUGUUGCCACCAUUGUUUCCAGCAAACCGAAGGCAAUAUUCAGCUCUCUACAGAGUUCCAUGGUCAUAAUCUGCUGAUUUACAUGGAUGAGCUGAUAGAGAAGCUUUUCAUUUCAAGGUGCAACAGUUGUGCACAACUGUCAAGAAUGCAUCUUGUCUUUCAUGUCACUGUUGCCACUCUUGACAUACACUGCUCACCACCUCACUGUGUUCACAUCCACUGUUUGGUCUCCAUAAACAUUCAGCAAGUGUCCAUGAAUGUCAGUGGAUGCAGUUUUUUUCUGCAUAGAGGAAUUCAAUUCUGCACCUUUCCUUUAUACGCACUUCUGUGUCAGGUGCCAUUCUGUCAGAUUGCUCCUUUGCUACCAACUGUCACAUGGCAAUGAAAUGUAAUGGAUUUUUGGUUCAGUCUCUACUGUCAUACUACCAACAUGUACCAUGUCGGACACCAUGGUCGACAUAAUAAAAUAGGAGGCAUUAGUUUUGAAGCAAUUCCUGCAUAUGUCCCAGCAAAUAGCACAUCCUUUUGUCAAGAAAUAAUAUUCUCCAUCAGAGCUUUAUGAAUUAAAAUCUUCUGAGUUAAAUUAAGAUCUUACUAUUUUUUACAUGAAAAGACUAUGUGAUAUCACUUGCUUUUAUCCUUAAAUUCAUUAGGUAGAGCACCUUUUUAAACAUGAAAAUACUGAAGCAUGCACCAUGUCUUCUAUAUAUAUCUCUAUGGACAUUUUUGUCUCCAACAAAAUCAUUAUGCUAAGUGGUUGAAUAAUUACAGUUAGCUAAUGUAGUAGGGGUAGGCAGACCUUGAAAUUUUCAGUUUUGUAUUACAUAAUUAAAUAUUCAUAGAGUCAGAAAAGCAACAGUCAAAUAUUUAUUGCCUAGCAGUUAAGGAG